rnacentral:misc_RNA from 1 species
GAUGAAGAACGCAGCGAAAUGCGAUAAGUAAUGUGAAUUGCAGAAUUCAGUGAAUCAUCGAAUCUUUGAACGCACCUUGCGCUCCCUGGUAUUCCGGGGAGCACGCCUGUUCGAGUGUCGCGAAAUUCUUCAAGCCUUGGAUGGAUUUUUUUUGUCUGUCCUUGGGCUUGGUUGUUGGGCUCUGCCGUGUCCUUCAUUGGGACGGCUGGCCUUAAAAGCAUUAGUCGAUCCUCGUGUGGUACUGGUUCUACUCAGCGUGAUAACAAUCUGAUCGUUGAGGACAUCUUCUGGAUGGCCAGUCAUCAUUUGGGUUGCUUCUAAACCGGUUUCGCAGAUUGCUCAAUCUGUGUGCCACUUUUCAGCUUUGACCUCGAAUCAGGUGGGACUACCCGCUGAACUUAAGCAUAUCAAUAAGCGGAGGA